CAGGGCAGUGGGCAGAAGGACUUUCAGGCUACCUUCUCAAAUGGUGACAUCCUGAACAUUCAAACUUCAAAAUGAUCCACCAGUUUUAGUUCAGUUUGGGGGAUAUUCUCAGGGAGUUCUGAUACAGCAGAAUGUUGUAAAUAGAAUUAAUAUUUACUACAACCAGAGAUUAACAUGGUAUGACUAAAGCUUUAAAUAAUUUGGCUUUGAUAGCCCCAUCAUUUUCUGAGAGCUUGGAACGGAAUUUGGACUCUACCUCUGUACUAUCCUAGAUUAUAAUGCCAUCCUUGCCUAAUGAGGGAGAUAACCAUAGAACUCGUCUGACUUUGAGCUCGGAACUACCUUAUCAAAGCACAAUUAAAAGAAAAGUCAGGAAGAAGAAGAAUGGAGUCAUCACUGCAAAUGUUGCUGGCACAAAAUAUGAAAUUGUACGUGUAGUAAUACGAGAAAUGGGAUUUGUGAAAACGCGCGAUGAAGAUGAAACAGCGAAUCUUAUUUGGAGUGAUUGUGCUGUGCAACAGGAAAAGAUUGCUGAACUUCGGAACUACCAGAGAAUCAACCAUUUUCCAGGAAUGGGAGAGAUCUGCAGAAAGGACUUCCUGGCAAGAAACAUGACAAAAAUGAUCAAGUGUCAGCCUCAGGAGUAUGGUUUUAUUCCUCGAACGUGGAUCUUCCCUGCAGAAUACACACAGUUUCAGAACUAUGUAAAAGAACUGAAGAAGAAACGUAGACAGAAAACUUUCAUAGUCAAACCAGCUAAUGGUGCAAUGGGGCAUGGAAUCUCUUUAGUAAGAAAUGGAGAAAAAUUACAAGCCCAGGAUCACUUGAUUGUCCAGGAAUAUCUUGACAAACCCUUUCUUAUGGAAGGCUACAAGUUUGAUUUACGCAUAUAUAUUCUCGUAACGUCUUGUGAUCCAUUAAAAAUAUUUUUAUAUCAUGAUGGACUGGUGAGAAUGGGCACAGAGAAGUAUCAUCCACCCAGUGAUUCAAAUUUGAGCCAAUUGUAUAUGCAUCUGACUAACUAUUCUGUCAAUAAACAUAACGAACACUUUGAACGGGAUGAAACAGAAGACAAAGGAAGUAAACGAUCCAUCAAAUGGUUUACUGAGUUUCUAGAAACAAAUAACCUUGAUGUCUCCAAAUUCUGGAAUGAUAUUUCAGAGCUAGUAGUGAAGACUCUCAUAGUUGCAGAGCCACAUGUUCUUCAUGCUUAUCGCAUGUGCAGGCCAGGGCAAGCACCAGGAAGUGACAGUGUCUGCUUUGAAGUCCUGGGAUUUGAUAUUCUGCUGGACAGAAAACUAAAACCAUGGCUCCUGGAGAUUAAUCGUGCCCCAAGCUUUGGAACUGAUCAAAAAAUAGACCAUGAUGUAAAAAAAGGUGUUCUGCUAAAUGCAUUAAAGCUUCUCAACAUACGGACAAGUGAUAAAAGGAGAAACUUAGCCCAACAGAAAGCUGAAGCUCAAAAAAGGCUGUAUGGCCAAGGCUCUAUGAAAAGACUGUUGCCAGGUUCUUCAGACUGGGAAAAACAGCGCCACACACUGGAAAGGAGAAAAGAAGAACUGAAAGAAAGACUUGCACAAGUGCGUAAACAGAUUUCCAAAGAAGAGCAUGAAAAUAGACACAUGGGGAACUACAGGCGAAUUUACCCACCUGAUGAUAAGACUUUACUUGAAAAGUAUGAGAGUUUGUUAGCCACUGCUUUCCAGACAUUCCUUGCUGGGAGAGCAGCUUCACUUCAGCGGGAAAUGAAUAACCCUUUAAAAAGAAUGAAGGAAGAGGAUAUUCUGGAUCUUCUGGAGCAAUGUGAAAUAGAUGAUGAAAAACUAAUGGGAAAAUCCAUGAGACAGCGAGGACCUAAGCCCUUGUUUUCUAUGCCAGAAAGUGCACAGACCUUAAGAAAACUCAGGAACUACAAUAGUGACAGUAGCUGUGAUAGCAGUAGCAAUAUGUCAGAAUCGGAAGAAGAAACUGAAAAGGAAGAUCACAAUGAAAAAAAGGAGAAAAAAGUAUCAUAUGACCUUGAAGAAAAUAAAUAUAGAACUUUGGAACGAUCAGGUAGAAUGAACUGGAAGCCUUCAAUUAAAAAUAUGAAAGCUCCAUCACAUUCAUCCUCCACAUCAUCCACAGGUCUAAUAAGACGUUCUGUAAGUUGUCCUCGUUCAAUAUCAAUAUUGACGCAAACAGCUGAGCAACGUCCCCUUUCAGCCAAAGCAUCUUUGCAAAUCCAGCGUGCAUCCUCUGUGAAUAGGUCCCAUUCUUUAAAUCGCAGCCCAUGUUCAGCCAGAGUCUCUCAGACGUCCAGCUUGGGAACUAUGAACUCUUCAGCGACUGAGUCUUUGCUGCAACAGAAAACAAAAGGCAAAGAAGAUGCUUUGACAAAAGAGGCUCUUCUCAUUUUCAAUGACAUGAGAAUGAAGUUCCCAGGAAAAACAGAUGAAGAGGCAGAAUUAAUUAUAGAAGAUAUUAUGGAUAAUUGGAAACACCAUAAAACAAAAGUAGCAUCCUAUUGGUUGGUAAAACUGGAUUCUGUAAAGCAACGAAAAGUUUUAGAUAUAGUCAAGACAAGCGUUCAUGCAGUUCUACAGCAUGUCUGGAAGGCUCCAGACAUUGAAAAUUUACAUUUGUACCGUCUUUUUAACCGCGUAUUUAAUCGCUUGCUUUGGAGCCAUGGCCAAGGUCUGUGGAACUGUUUCUGUAAUUCAGGGAGCUCUUGGGAAACCAUAUUCAGUAAAAGCACAGAGGUGGUGACUCCCGAGCAGUUCCAGUGUUGCCAACGAAUAGUACAGCUCUGUAAACACUGCCUGCUGGUGGUGUACAAAUACUCAUCAGACUCAAGAGGUUCCUUGACUGGAAUUAGCCCCAAUUGGGAUGAUACAAGAUCCCUCAAAGUCACUGAUUCCUGAUUUGCAUUCCUAGAGGUAUCCUAACAUGUAUUAUACUUCAAGCUUCACAUUCACAAGUGGAUCCUAUAGGGGCACAGCUUCCAGCCAGGGGUCAGGUAUUUAUUGCCAGGACCUUCACAGUUCCUCAUGAAAUCAUCCUCGUCCAACCUUAGCUGCAGUUCAUCUGGAAUGCCUCGUCCUAACAUUUUGUUUACACACAGAUAUAGUCACCUGUGAAACAGAAGGAGAAUUACUGUUCCUUGUAAAUAAUGGCACUCCAUUUUUUUCGAAUUAAAAGUUGUGAUGGAGCUGAACAUAAGUAUUGUUAUAUUUACCUUCAUAUUAUGAUAACGUUUAGCUGAAAAGCUACUGCAAAAGCAUAGCCUUUCUGGAAACAUAAUAAACCUUAUUUAAGUUGUUUACACACAUAUGUGAAUGUGUAGAUCUUGCUAGGUUUAUAAGUAAUUCCUUCCUACUAGAAAUGUUAUUUUUGCUGCAGAAUAUAUAAAAAUGGAAUUGAUCUUGAAGAUCCUAUUACAGUGUUACAUUAUUUUAUAAGUACAGUACUUCAACUUAAAUAUUUAUUGUAAAAUAUACUAUUUAUUGUCUCAUAUGUAAUUGAUCCUUUAACAAGAUAGGUGAUUAAAAAACUGUAGCAGACCGGCAGAACAGUAAUAGUUACUGAAUGUAAUCUGAUUAUUUCUAGGACACAAAAAAACCCCCAAAACUCUACAAGCCAAAUCUAAAGCAGGCAUCAUUUUAUUUCUCCUCUGAAACUACAAGAUCUAUUUAUUCAUGUUAUCCUUCUUUACGGACAUGGUAUAGUAUAUUUUAGUCAAAGUCAAGCCAAUCUUAUAUGUAAAUAUUAAAAAUAUCAGUUUUAGCAUCCAGUUUCUAAUUGGAUUUUUGUAAUAAAACAGAAGCCAAUGUUUGUUACCAGACUUUCAUUCACAUUACCUAUGUCUUGUGCCUUUAAAUUUCCUUUGGGAGCAAGCAGUCACCUGCAACUAAUACAAGCAUGCAUAGUGCAUAGUUUUUCUGUUUUACUGCACAAAUGGUAAAGCAGAAAUUUUAAGAAUCACUGCAGCUAUAAUAUAUUAUUGAACCUUAAACUAAAUGGUUUGAUGUAGUUUUUAGCAUACAAUCCAGUAUGUGCUGUAGAACGUGUCUUUGAAUGGACAGUAUUUUCUAGCCUUGCUGACACCUCUAAAUGUUGGAAAUAUAAUUCAUUAGAAAGCUCUCAUUCAGAUUCAGCUUUCUGGGCUUGGCUGAAGGGUGCAAUAAGAAACUGACAUAAAUCAGAACCAGAGCAGGAACCGAGUAUUAACAGGAUUUGUAACUGCAAAACCUCCUUCAGGUAUUGCUAUGUACACCCGUUCAUCCCAUUCAGCAUUGUGCCAUAUGGGCCUUACUCAUUAUAUAAAUAAUUAUUAAAAAUUCAGUUAAUUUAGAUUUAAAAUGAAUGAGGUUUUCUAACUGAGUACAGAAGAGAGUAAGUAGUUAUUUACCAAAGACCUGUUUACUUUUCAAUAAUGUAACCUUGAAAUUUUGUUUGGAAGUUAUCAAUGUGUUUCAGGUAAUUAAAAAAAAAAUAAUUUAGGGGUUAGUUGUCCUCAGGAGUGAGUAUCCUGAAGGUUUUUGAUAUCCAGAGGUUUAAGACAAAUUGAGACUGAAGCUGUCUGGAAUUGAAUUUUUUAAAUCAUAGUCAUAGUACAUCUCAAACUGGGAAUUUUGGUGAGAUUUUGAUGCCUGUGCUGUAGUGCCCCAGCUCUGGAUUGCAGGAUACAUCAUAGCAAGACUAUUUGUAAACAAUUUAAAAAACUCUGAGGUUAACCAGGUAUCAGCAAUCUUCUGUUCCAGGUAAAUCUUUUACAUUUUCAACGUAAUAGUAGUUUUGUAAUACAGUAUGUUCACAUCAGUUCACUUUGUAUGUCUCUUUUGGUCCAUACACUGACUACUGAUAAAGCAUACUAUGAUUAUCUGUAAGACCUAAUAAAAUCUAAAAAUUCUC